rnacentral:rRNA from 1 species
UACGUAGGGGGGCAAGCGUUUGUCCGGAUUUAUUGGGCGUAAAGAGCGUGUAGGCGGUUUUGGUAGGUCCGCUGUGAAAAACUCGAGGCUCAACCUCGAGACGCCCGGUGGAAAACCAUCAGGCUAGAGUCCGGAAGAGGAGAGUGGAAUUCCUGGUGUAGCGGUGAAAAUGCGCAGAUAUCAGGAAGAACACCCCGUGGCUAAGGCGGCUCUCUAG